GCGGGAAAAGCUCAAAUUUGUAAUCUGGCGUCUACGACGUCCGAGUUGUAAUCUCGAGAAGUGUUUUCCGUGAUAGACCGCAUACAAGUCUCUUGGAACAGAGCGUCAUAGUGGUGAGAACCCAGUACACGAUGCGGAUGCCUAUUACUUUGUGAUACACUUUCGAAGAGUCGAGUUGUUUGGGAAUGCAGCUCAAAUUGGGUGGUAAAUUCCAUCUAAAGCUAAAUAUUGGCGAGAGACCGAUAGCGAACAAGUACCGUGAGGGAAAGAUGAAAAGCACUUUGGAAAGAGAGUUAACAGUACGUGAAAUUGUUGGAAGGGAAACACAUGCAGCCAGACUUGCUAUUCGGGGCAACUCGAUUGGCAGGCCCGCAUCAGUUUUUCGGGGCGGAAAAGCAUAGAGAGAAGGUAGCAAUUUCGGUUGUGUUAUAGCUCUUUAUUGGAUUCGCCCUGGGGGACUGAGGAACG
rnacentral:rRNA from 1 species